UACGUAGGGGGCGAACGUUGUCCGGAAUUAUUGGGCGUAAAGCGCGUGUAGGCGGUCUUGUAAGUCAAAUGUAAAAUCCCCGGGCUUAACCCGGGUUCGCACUUGAUACUGUGAGACUUGAGAAAUGUAGAGGGAAGCGGAACUACCGGUGUAGCGGUGAAAUGCGUAGAUAUCGGUAGGAACACCAGUGGCGAAGGCGGCUUUCUGGACAUUUUCUGACGCUGAGACGCGAGAGCAAGGGGAGC
rnacentral:rRNA from 1 species